GAUGAACGCUGGCGGCGUGCCUAAUACAUGCAAGUCGAACGAGUUCUCGUUGAUGAUCGGUGCUUGCACCGAGAUUCAACAUGGAACGAGUGGCGGACGGGUGAGUAACACGUGGGUAACCUGCCCUUAAGUGGGGGAUAACAUUUGGAAACAGAUGCUAAUACCGCAUAGAUCCAAGAACCGCAUGGUUCUUGGCUGAAAGAUGGCGUAAGCUAUCGCUUUUGGAUGGACCCGCGGCGUAUUAGCUAGUUGGUGAGGUAAUGGCUCACCAAGGCGAUGAUACGUAGCCGAACUGAGAGGUUGAUCGGCCACAUUGGGACUGAGACACGGCCCAAACUCCUACGGGAGGCAGCAGUAGGGAAUCUUCCACAAUGGACGCAAGUCUGAUGGAGCAACGCCGCGUGAGUGAAGAAGGCUUUCGGGUCGUAAAACUCUGUUGUUGGAGAAGAAUGGUCGGCAGAGUAACUGUUGUCGGCGUGACGGUAUCCAACCAGAAAGCCACGGCUAACUACGUGCCAGCAGCCGCGGUAAUACGUAGGUGGCAAGCGUUAUCCGGAUUUAUUGGGCGUAAAGCGAGCGCAGGCGGUUUUUUAAGUCUGAUGUGAAAGCCUUCGGCUUAACCGAGGAAGCGCAUCGGAAACUGGGAAACUUGAGUGCAGAAGAGGACAGUGGAACUCCAUGUGUAGCGGUGAAAUGCGUAGAUAUAUGGAAGAACACCAGUGGCGAAGGCGGCUGUCUGGUCUGUAACUGACGCUGAGGCUCGAAAGCAUGGGUAGCGAACAGGAUUAGAUACCCUGGUAGUCCAUGCCGUAAACGAUGAAUGCUAGGUGUUGGAGGGUUUCCGCCCUUCAGUGCCGCAGCUAACGCAUUAAGCAUUCCGCCUGGGGAGUACGACCGCAAGGUUGAAACUCAAAGGAGUUGACGGGGGCCCGCACAAGCGGUGGAGCAUGUGGUUUAAUUCGAAGCAACGCGAAGAACCUUACCAGGUCUUGACAUCUUUUGAUCACCUGAGAGAUCAGGUUUCCCCUUCGGGGGCAAAAUGACAGGUGGUGCAUGGUUGUCGUCAGCUCGUGUCGUGAGAUGUUGGGUUAAGUCCCGCAACGAGCGCAACCCUUAUGACUAGUUGCCAGCAUUUAGUUGGGCACUCUAGUAAGACUGCCGGUGACAAACCGGAGGAAGGUGGGGAUGACGUCAAAUCAUCAUGCCCCUUAUGACCUGGGCUACACACGUGCUACAAUGGAUGGUACAACGAGUUGCGAGACCGCGAGGUCAAGCUAAUCUCUUAAAGCCAUUCUCAGUUCGGACUGUAGGCUGCAACUCGCCUACACGAAGUCGGAAUCGCUAGUAAUCGCGGAUCAGCACGCCGCGGUGAAUACGUUCCCGGGCCUUGUACACACCGCCCGUCACACCAUGAGAGUUUGUAACACCCGAAGCCGGUGGCGUAACCCUUUUAAGGAGCGAGCCGUCUAAGGUGGGACAAAUGAUUAGGGCC
rnacentral:rRNA from 1 species